UACGAGGGGGGCAAGCGUUGUUCGGAAUUAUUGGGCGUAAAGGGCGCGUAGGCGGUUUGGCAAGUUUGGUGUGAAAUCUUCGGGCUCAACUCGAAGUCUGCAUCGAAAACUGCCGGGCUUGAGUAUGGGAGAGGUGAGUGGAAUUUCCGGUGUAGCGGUGAAAUGCGUAGAUAUCGGAAGGAACACCUGUGGCGAAAGCGGCUCACUGGACCAUUACUGACGCUGAGGCGCGAAAGCUAGGGGAGCAAACAGGG
rnacentral:rRNA from 1 species